rnacentral:rRNA from 1 species
UACGAAGGGUGCAAGCGUUACUCGGAAUUACUGGGCGUAAAGCGUGCGUAGGCGGUUUGUUAAGUCCGUUGUGAAAGCCCUGGGCUCAACCUGGGAAUUGCAGUGGAUACUGGCGAGCUAGAGUGCGGUAGAGGAUGGUGGAAUUCCCGGUGUAGCGGUGAAAUGCGUAGAGAUCGGGAGGAACACCCGUGGCGAAGGCGGCCAUCUGGACCAGCACUGACGCUGAGGCACGGAAAGGCG